rnacentral:lncRNA from 1 species
CACAGGUCAAAAGGCUGGAGGGGGAGGGAAUACACCCAGGAUGGGACACCAGUCCAUCACAAGGCACCCCAAGGGGAACUUGAUCCCCAGAUCCACCGGAGAACAGGACCUGCUCCAACCCACCGCACCACCGUGCCCCCAAGGGAUUAGUGAAGUACCGUCCUAUCCCCAUCCUAUCCCGUACACCUCAUUGCAGAAUCCGGGGCUGUCAGGGCGGAGCAGAUCAGAAACGCACCGCAACGUGCCCACCUACGUUCGUGUGUUUGAACCUGGAUCCUGGGGGCCACCCAUCAUCCUCUAUACUCUCUUCCGGGGUUGCACAGACUUUGCCUCUCAUGAAACGGAUGCCAAACACCUAACCCCGUAGGCUGUCUACAUGAGAUGUUGUCAGCUGACAAACAUCCUUUCAUUUGGGUCCUGUUCGGUGAGUGUGUCUGAGAACCCUUGGGAUGCACGAAGUUAUGCCGGUUUCUCCCACCAGGUGAUUGAGGGUUCAAAUAAUGGGCAAAGCCUUUCAGAAAUGUAGCCGACUGGCUGUAUAUAAAAGCUCCAUAAAAAUAAUGUAAGCGAAACGUCACCCGAGACAAGGGCGCACGUUAAUCAAAGGUGCAACUUUUACUGCUGUGUUGAGGGUGCAGUUUGGCUGGAUCGGCGUCGUGCUCGUCAUCGAAAACGCGUUUCUGAAACGAGAGAGGGAGAUGAUCUAACGGUUCGGACCGGCUAAUUUUCCCGGCUGGAGUGAGCCGUGAGAAAACUAGUACCAUUAGCUGGCUCUUUUUUCUCCGUCCUCAGCUUCUUUAUAGCCUUGUUUUCGUUUCCGUUCGAGCGUAGAGGCAGUGUUAUACUUUCGUGAACCCCAGCGCAGUCGAGGCAGGCGCCACUCCAGCGCCGACAAAUCUCCCAUUGCUGCGAAGGUGGAAGUGACACCUGGAACAAAACGUGAUAAGGGGAGGAAAUAUAGGACACCUGGUCGUGCGCUGGUUAGCGUGACUGCCUUUGGAC